AUUGAACGCUGGCGGCAUGCUUUACACAUGCAAGUCGAACGGUAACAGGUUAAGCUGACGAGUGGCGAACGGGUGAGUAAUGCAUCGGAACGUGCCCGGUCGUGGGGGAUAACGCAGCGAAAGCUGCGCUAAUACCGCAUACGAUCUGAGGAUGAAAGCGGGGGACCGUAAGGCCUCGCGCGAUCGGAGCGGCCGAUGUCAGAUUAGGUAGUUGGUGGGGUAAAGGCUCACCAAGCCGACGAUCUGUAGCUGGUCUGAGAGGACGACCAGCCACACUGGGACUGAGACACGGCCCAGACUCCUACGGGAGGCAGCAGUGGGGAAUAUUGGACAAUGGGGGCAACCCUGAUCCAGCAAUGCCGCGUGUGUGAAGAAGGCCUGAGGGUUGUAAAGCACUUUCAGUGGGGAGGAGGUUAGUCAGGUUAAGAGCUAGACUAAUGGACGUUACCCACAGAAGAAGCACCGGCUAACUCCGUGCCAGCCGCCGCAGUAA
rnacentral:rRNA from 1 species